CCCACAAACCCCUGCUACUCUAAUAGGAAAUGCUACACACAGGCCCAAAGACUGCAGCCAGCAGAGUUUCAGAUGAGAACCUUGUGAAAUCCUCAGGACCAUGAAAUCACCUCAGCACCAACUACCCUGCACAACUAAGAGCGGUUCAAGGACACUAUGACUGAUCAGGACUUUCCGGAGCACGCCCCCCCAGGUUGGACUCAGCCCGAAAAUACUACUUGGAGCCGCCUCCCUGUG